UUUUUUACUUCUUCUUCUCAAACUAGAUCUGAUUGUAUUUUUAUGUUUUGGGGUUUCUUGCCUUUGAUUCCUUCGCGUGGGAUUUUUGUUGUUUUUGUUUGAGUUGAGUUGGUGUCGAUUGUCCUACGGUAUUCUUUCUUAACUUGGAUUGUGGUAAAGAUCCUAUUUUUAGGUCUCAAUAAUGUCGAAAAAAUCACCUUGCUUCAUACGAGGUUUCUAGGUAUUGUUUCAGCUUUGCGGUUUCUGGGUAUUUCUUGAAUUCCCGCUAUGGAUGCUACCUCGUGCUCCACCGUUGUUUCCCAUAUGCGAUUAUCAUCUCCAAUUUUCAGACCCUAAUUGUUUGAGUCUUUUCUUCCGACUCAGUUGACAGUUAAAGCAGCAACAUUAGUGGAUUUUCGUAUUGUCAACUACAAAAAGAAAUGUAAUGGGAAAAAAUGUUGUUCUGCUGCAUUAUACACGAGCAUAGAGGACUUGGCAAAAGCUCAUACUCAUGUUGCAGAGGAAAAGAUUGGGGUGCUUCUUUUGAAUCUUGGAGGACCUGAUCGAUACUCUUAACGAUGUCCAGCCGUUCUUGUUUAAUCUAUUUGUUGACCCAACCUCUGGCGCAGUUGAUUUCUACUCUAAGAGCCCCUAAAAGCAAGGAAGGAUAUGCUUCGAUAGGAGGGAGUUCUCCUUUGCGAAGAUUACUGAUGAGCAGGAAAAUGCAAUCGACAUGACACUAGAAGCAAAGAACAAGGGUGUAUGUGUAUAUGUUGCCAUGAGGUACGGGUACCCAUUUACAGAAGAGGCGAGUGGAGCAGCCAAUUAAUGCUUCAAGAACUUGGGAAGCAGAAUCAACAACUAGUGCAGCUCAUUCAAGGCUGAUCGAUUUUCUUUGCCUGAUUAAUGAACUUGCAUGUACGUUGAAGGGGAAGGGUGUCUACAGUAGAAGCUGACGAGUCUUAAAGGAUUAUUUCAUAAACUUAGCAGGAAAUGCUUUAAUAUAAUGUAAACCGUACGUUAGCAGGAAAUGCUUUUAAUAUUUUGUAAACGCAUAGCAGCAAGGUUACUUUUUAAUGUAUUGAAUUUUUUAUAUAUUUAAUUUUUAAUAUAUUUAAUGUUUA